rnacentral:tRNA from 1 species
CUUUGUAUAUCUAAGGUUUAAGUGCUGAGUUCUUACCUCAGUGAUGUGUUUUACACUACAGGGU